rnacentral:rRNA from 3 species
AGACCCGAAACCCGGUGAUCUAGCCAUGGGCAGGUUGAAGGUUGGGUAACACUAACUGGAGGACCGAACCGACUAAUGUUGAAAAAUUAGCGGAUGACCUGUGGCUGGGGGUGAAAGGCCAAUCAAACCGGGAGAUAGCUGGUUCUCCCCGAAAGCUAUUUAGGUAGCGCCUCGUGAAUUCAUCUCCGGGGGUAGAGCACUGUUUCGGCUAGGGGGCCAUCCCGGCUUACCAACCCGAUGCAAACUGCGAAUACCGGAGAAUGUUAUCACGGGAGACACACGGCGGGUGCUAACGUCCGUCGUGAAGAGGGAAACAACCCAGACCGCCAGCUAAGGUCCCAAAGUCAUGGUUAAGUGGGAAACGAUGUGGGAAGGCCCAGACAGCCAGGAUGUUGGCUUAGAAGCAGCCAUCAUUUAAAGAAAGCGUAAUAGCUCACUGGUCGAGUCGGCCUGCGCGGAAGAUGUAACGGGGCUAAACCAUGCACCGAAGCUGCGGCAGCGACGCUGAUGCGUUGUUGGGUAGGGGAGCGUUCUGUAAGCCUGUGAAGGUGGCCUGUGAGGGUUGCUGGAGGUAUCAGAAGUGCGAAUGCUGACAUAAGUAACGAUAAAGCGGGUGAAAAGCCCGCUCGCCGGAAGACCAAGGGUUCCUGUCCAACGUUAAUCGGGGCAGGGUGAGUCGACCCCUAAGGCGAGGCCGAAAGGCGUAGUCGAUGGGAAACGGGUUAAUAUUCCCGUACUUGGUGUUACUGCGAAGGGGGGACGGAGAAGGCUAUGUUGGCCGGGCGACGGUUGUCCCGGUUUAAGCGUGUAGGUGUGUGUUCCAGGUAAAUCCGGUUCACUUUAACACUGAGGCGUGAUGACGAGGCACUACGGUGCUGAAGCAACAAAUGCCCUGCUUCCAGGAAAAGCCUCUAAGCAUCAGGUAACAUCAAAUCGUACCCCAAACCGACACAGGUGGUCAGGUAGAGAAUACCAAGGCGCUUGAGAGAACUCGGGUGAAGGAACUAGGCAAAAUGGUGCCGUAACUUCGGGAGAAGGCACGCUGACAUGUAGGUGAAGUGAUUUACUCAUGGAGCUGAAGUCAGUCGAAGAUACCAGCUGGCUGCAACUGUUUAUUAAAAACACAGCACUGUGCAAACACGAAAGUGGACGUAUACGGUGUGACGCCUGCCCGGUGCCGGAAGGUUAAUUGAUGGGGUCAGCGCAAGCGAAGCUCCUGAUCGAAGCCCCGGUAAACGGCGGCCGUAACUAUAACGGUCCUAAGGUAGCGAAAUUCCUUGUCGGGUAAGUUCCGACCUGCACGAAUGGCGUAAUGAUGGCCAGGCUGUCUCCACCCGAGACUCAGUGAAAUUGAACUCGCUGUGAAGAUGCAGUGUACCCGCGGCAAGACGGAAAGACCCCGUGAACCUUUACUAUAGCUUGACACUGAACAUUGAGCCUUGAUGUGUAG